UCAGGGUGACCCGAUUUGCACGGAUGUCUUCUCGGUGUAAGGGAGGUGCUUUCCUAUUUUAGCUACACUCUG
rnacentral:tRNA from 1 species